GAUGAACGCUGGCGGCGUGCUUAACACAUGCAAGUCGAACGGGAAACCUUUUAUUGAAGCUUCGGCAGAUUUAGCUGGUUUCUAGUGGCGGACGGGUGAGUAACGCGUGGGUAACCUGCCUUAUACAGGGGGAUAACAGUCAGAAAUGGCUGCUAAUACCGCAUAAGCGCACAGAGCUGCAUGGCUCGGUGUGAAAAACUCCGGUGGUAUAAGAUGGACCCGCGUUGGAUUAGCUUGUUGGUGGGGUAACGGCCCACCAAGGCGACGAUCCAUAGCCGGCCUGAGAGGGUGAACGGCCACAUUGGGACUGAGACACGGCCCAGACUCCUACGGGAGGCAGCAGUGGGGAAUAUUGCACAAUGGGGGAAACCCUGAUGCAGCGACGCCGCGUGAUGGAAGAAGUAUCUCGGUAUGUAAACUUCUAUCAGCAGGGAAGAUAGUGACGGUACCUGACUAAGAAGCCCCGGCUAACUACGUGCCAGCCGCCGCGGUAA
rnacentral:rRNA from 1 species